GAUGAACGCUGGCGGCGUGCCUAAUACAUGCAAGUCGAGCGAACAGACGCGGAGCUUGCUCCUCUGACGUUAGCCGCGCACGUGUGAGUAACACGUGGAUACUCUACUUCUAUGACUGGGAUACCUUCGGGACACCGGAUCUUAUUCCAGAUAAUAUAUUGACCCGUAUGGUUCAAUAGUGAAAGUCGGUUUUGAUGUCAAUCCUACAUGGAUCCGCGCCGCUUGAGCUAGUUUGUAGGGUAAAGGCUUACCCAGGCGACUGUGCGUAGCCGACCUGAGAGGGGGAUCGGCCACACUGGAGCGGAGCCACGGUCCGGACUACUACGGUAGGGAGCAGUAGCGAAUCUUCCGCAAUGGGCGAAAGCCUGACGGAGCAACGCCGCGUGAGUUAUGAAGAUCUUCGGAUCGUAAAAAUCUAUUAGUAGGGAAGAACAAAUGUGUAAGUAACUAUGGACGUCUUGACGGUACCUAAACAGAAAGCCACGGCUAACUACGUG
rnacentral:rRNA from 1 species